rnacentral:rRNA from 1 species
GACGAACGCUGGCGGCGUGCCUAAUACAUGCAAGUAGAACGCUGAAGAGAGGAGCUUGCUCUUCUUGGAUGAGUUGCGAACGGGUGAGUAACGCGUAGGUAACCUGCCUUUUAGCGGGGGAUAACUAUUGGAAACGAUAGCUAAUACCGCAUAACAAUGGAUGACCCAUGUCAUUUAUUUGAAAGGGGCAAAUGCUCCACUACAAGAUGGACCUGCGUUGUAUUAGCUAAGAGGUGAGGUAACGGCUCACCUAGGCGACGAUACAUAGCCGACCUGAGAGGGGUGACGGCCAAACUGGGACUGAGACACGGCCCAGACUCCUACGGGAAGCAGCAGUAAGGAAUCCUCGGCAAUGGGGGCAACCCCGAACGAGCAACGCCGCGUGAAGGAAGGAGGUUUUCGGAUCGGAAAGCUCUGUUGUAAGUGAAGGACGAGUGUGAGAGUGGAAAGUUCACACUGUGACGGUAGCUUACCAGAAAGGGACGGCUAACUACGUG